rnacentral:rRNA from 1 species
GACGAACGCUGGCGGCGUGCCUAAUACAUGCAAGUAGAACGCUGAAGGAGGAGCUUGCUUCUCUGGAUGAGUUGCGAACGGGUGAGUAACGCGUAGGUAACCUGCCUGGUAGCGGGGGAUAACUAUUGGAAACGAUAGCUAAUACCGCAUAAGAGUAGAUGUCGCAUGACAUUUGCUUAAAAGGUGCAAUUGCAUCACUACCAGAUGGACCUGCGUUGUAUUAGCUAGUUGGUGAGGUAACGGCUCACCAAGGCGACGAUACAUAGCCGACCUGAGAGGGUGAUCGGCCACACUGGGACUGAGACACGGCCCAGACUCCUACGGGAGGCAGCAGUAGGGAAUCUUCGGCAAUGGACGGAAGUCUGACCGAGCAACGCCGCGUGAGUGAAGAAGGUUUUCGGAUCGUAAAGCUCUGUUGUAAGAGAAGAACGAGUGUGAGAGUGGAAAGUUCACACU